AGUUUAUUUUAAACAUUAGAGAUGAUCCUUCGCCCUUUGCUUUAAUUAAAAGGCUAUAACCAAUUAUUGCAUAGGCUAUAGGACGAAUGACUGCGACUUACAAAUUCACCAUUUGAUUAAAAACAAGAAAGCUAUUUAAACUAUUUAGAAUACCACCUUAAAAAUUAGAUAGCAAAAUAAUACUCAGUUGCUGCAUCUAUCCUACGAAGCCGGCCGGCUGCAUGGACAGAUAAGAUACUAAUAUAAGAGUACAGAGAGUACAAAUGCUUACAAAUAAAUUAUCAGCUGAGCCGGCUGAGAGAGAGUUCAUGUAUAUAUGUGUGUGGAUCAUAAAAAGCUAAGAGAAGAAGAGGGAGGGUACAGCCUUGGUGAAAAGGGUAGUAGGCGUCGCAAGUACUUCCACCAUCUAACAACUAAACCGCCCAAAGCUGUACUCUCUCUCUUCUUCAUUUAGCCUUCACGAUAUGAUCGUCUAUCGAUCUCCUUCUCUUAGUUGCUCUAGAAGUUGGAUCCCUAUGGGUUUAU
rnacentral:precursor_RNA from 1 species